AGUGAACGCUGGCGGCAGGCUUAACACAUGCAAGUCGAGCGAGAAAGUGGCUUCGGUCAUGAGUAAAGCGGCAAACGGGUGAGUAACGCGUGGGAAUUUCACUUCUAGUCUUGGAUAGCCCCGGGAAACUGGGAUUAAUACAAGAUAUUAUUUACGGAUGAAAGAUUUAUCGCUAGAAGAUAAGCCCGCGUGAGAUUAGCUAGUUGGUGAGGUAUGGCUCACAAAGGCAACGAUCUCUAGUUGGUCUGAGAGGAUGAUCAACCACACUGGAACUGAGACACGGUCCAGACUCCUACGGGAGGCAGCAGUGAGGAAUAUUGGACAAUGGGGGAAACCCUGAUCCAGCCAUGCCGCGUGAGUGAUGAAGGCCUUCGGGUUGUAAAACUCUUUAAGUGGGGAAAAUAAUGAUUGUACCCACAGAAUAAGCCACGGCAAACUUCGUGCCAGCAGCCGCCGUAA
rnacentral:rRNA from 1 species